CCUACGGGCGGCAGCAGUAGGGAAUAUUGCUCAAUGGGGGAAACCCUGAAGCAGCAACGCCGCGUGGAGGAUGAAGGUUUUCGGAUUGUAAACUCCUUUUGUUAGAGAAGAUAAUGACGGUAUCUAACGAAUAAGCACCGGCUAACUCCGUGCCAGCAGCCGCGGUAAUACGGAGGGUGCAAGCGUUACUCGGAAUCACUGGGCGGAAAGAGCGCGUAGGCGGGAUAGCAAGUCAGAUGUGAAAUCCUAUGGCUUAACCAUAGAACUGCAUUGGAAACUGUUAUUCUAGAGUAUGGGAGAGGUAGGUGGAAUUCUUGGUGUAGGGGUAAAAUCCGUAGAGAUCAAGAGGAAUACUCAUUGCGAAGGCGACCUGCUAGAACAUAACUGACGCUGAUGCGCGAAAGCGUGGGGAGCAAACAGGAUUAGAUACCCUAGUAGUC
rnacentral:rRNA from 1 species